UACGAGUGCCUCGAGCGUUAUCCGGAAUCAUUGGGCGUAAAGGGUGUGUAGGCGGUUAUGUUAGUCUCGCGUUAAAUCUUUCGGCUCAACCGAGAGGCUGCGUGGGAAACGGCAUGGCUAAGAGGAUGGAAGGGGUCUGCGGAACUCAUGGUGUAGCGGUAAAAUGCGUUGAUAUCAUGGGGAACACCAAAAGCGAAGGCAGCAGACUGGUCCACUCCUGACGCUGAAACACGAAAGCGUGGGUCGCGAAUGGG
rnacentral:rRNA from 1 species